UACGAAGGCUGCUAGCGUUGCUCGGAAUAACUGGGCGUAAAGCGCAUGUAGGCGGAUUUUUAAGUCAGAGGUGAAAUCCCAGGGCUCAACCCCGGCAUUGCCUUUGAUACUGGAGAUCUGGAGUCUGGGAGAGGUGAGUGGAAUUCCGAGUGUAGAGGUGAAAUUCGUAGAUAUUCGGAGGAACACCAGUGGCGAAGGCGGCUCACUGGCCCGAGACUGACGCUGAGAUGCGAAAGCGUGGGGAGCAAACAGG
rnacentral:rRNA from 1 species